GGCUUCCCAGCACCAGCAUGCAGGGACCACUCCAGGGGGUCCUAGUGGGGGCCUGAGGGGUUGAGGAGGGGAUGGGUCCCAAGAUCCCUGCCCAGAGUGAGCCCCAGUAGGACCCUGAGAAUUUGGUGUUGGAGGGGCACCAGGCUGAGGGAGGAGGGCCAGUCCCCAAGAGAAGACGGGGGGUCCACCCCCAGCUCCUUCCCUGCCCCUGCCUGCUGGAGGGCACCAAAAACACCUUCGACCUAGACCAGCUGGCUGUUUCAAAGCCCUUUCAGGCCCUGGACAAGGACAGAGGUCCCCAUUUUACUGAAACUCUUGUUUUCCACCAAAAUCAGUCAGCCUCAAUUCUUGAGGGUCCUCGGAGUCCCCCUGAAGAGCCUCAGAGGGAGGAGGCAUGGGGAGGGGUUACAGACCUGGAAGGCUGUGGACACUGUCCCCCCAGGGCUGGCACAUCUGAUCACCCCCCAGCCCUGAGCAGCUGCAAAGCACCACUUCCUCCCCUUCCCCCAGCCCUCCUCUGGGUCCCUCUCCCCCCCAUCCAGGUCCCAGAGAAAAGAGAGCCCCACCCCGCACGGCAUCCCACUUCCUGCAUCUGUCACCUGCGCCGCUCAGAUCCCUGUCCCCAAUGAGGAAGCAGAGGUGACUCCACCGCUGUGCUGGCUCCCCCCUCCCCCACCCCUGGUUCCGGGCACCUGACUCCACAUCAUUCAUCCUCAAGGCUGGCGCCUUUCCGUCAACGCCGAAGCCACCAAGACCCUCCGUGUUAACAUGAGCGCCCCGAGCUCGCCUCCCUGUCGGCCCCCUUUCCUCACGGCCACCCUCUAGAGAGAGAUGUCCACGCCCGGCUCCGCUUCCUCCUCCCUUCCUCCCUUCCUCAUUCCUCAGUCCCUGGCUGCCCUGCAACCGCUCAGAGCUCUUCUCUGCUGCGCCAGGUCCGCUCUGUCCUCCUCUUCCCUGCUCCCCCCGAGCGUCCACCUCUUCCGCAGUUCCUGUCCCCCUCGAAGCUCCCUCUGUCUGUCUGGGUCACACUGCUGGAGUUCUCCCUCUGCGAGUGGCAGACAGCGGGAUGGGGCAGAACGAGGGCACUGGCAUCAGACACCCUGGUUCAAAGAGGCCUCGCUGCCUGCCAGCUGGGCGGCCUUGACCACAUCCCUUCACCCUCGGUGCCUCGGUCUCCUCAGCUGUAAAGUGGGGGGACAGCAUGGAAGGGACCUCUUGGAUCCUGUGAGGAUUCAGAAGUACGUGCCCUCCCUUAGCACGGACCGGCGCAGAGCGCCUGCUGCUCGGAGCAGCGGGAGGGGGCACCGGUUCUGGGCUCUGCCUGGUGGCCCGUGGCACUGGGCCACCAGUGACAGCAGUGGGCCAGGUAGCCACGGGCUUUGGGCAGCGAGGGUGACCUGGGAAUGCCAGUGAUCUUAGAAGCCCCAGGCACGCUCAGCCAGUCCAUGCAUUGCUCUUCCUGGGCAUGGGGUGGGGACAUUUCGAGGGGUUCAGUCAUGUGCACGGAAUACUGUGUUUUCCCCUCUGCUGCCACUGCUCCCAAGGAGGUCGAGUCGCCCCAGCCCACCCUACUCUGGGCAUCUCUAUCCAGAGCAUGGAGGCCCCUGGGGCAUAGGGGUGCGGGCUGGCCACAGAUGGGUUAACUCCUGGCCUGGCUCCUAGACAGGAUGCUUCCUAGGGCACACAAUGCCCCCUCCACUCCUUGCCUUUCCUUGGUCCCCAGAGCAGCAGGCACCCCUCCCUUCUCACAUCCCCCUCCACUCCCUCUGACCGACCGAAGGGGACAGAGGGCUCCCCCAGGUGGCCAAAUGUGCCAAGGCCAGAAGCUGGGGAGUCUGCAAGGACUGGCUUCAAGCAUCCUGCCCCUUCAGCCCCGUAAAUACGUCUGCAUGGUCAAGACUAGGUGUUCCAAUUUGGGGUUCGGAAAAAUCAGGUCCCCUGUAUGUGUAUUGGUAUCUGUAUGAAACCAGCAAUGUGUGUGAUCCACGUGUUGUGAAGUAUUCCUAGCCAGAUGGUAGGGAAUUGCUUGCAGCCAUUCUGAACACCGGGGGAGGAUUAUCUGCAGGGCCUGGCCUAACACUCUGCCUUGUGUCGUGGGUCACAGGAUGCAGAGGCAUGGGGACAGGAAGCAGAGCGCAGAGGCCCAGCUAGAAGCCAAAAACACACCAGUACCAGUAAUCACCACCAUUUACCACAGGCCUUCUGUGUGUCUGUCACCAUGCCCUGGGCUUUCCUUCCUUCGUUUCCUUUACUUCUCACAACCACCUAGGAAACAGACAUUAUUAUUAUCCUCACUGAGCAGAUGGGGAAACUGAGGCUCAGUGAAGUUAAAUCCCUUGUCUAAAAUCACACAGCUAGGUGAAGACUGAAUUGGAGCUCAGACAUGUCUGACUCCAAAUGCCUUGCUCUUAUGCAAGUCUGCCUAUGCACGGGAAGAUCAUCUGGCAGAGAACUAAGAGAGACAUGAGUAUACUCACGAGACGCUCAUGGGGGAGGCUGGACAACUCCUUCCCACCCCAAGAGCACACACAGCAGGUGCUCAGCAGAAGCAGGUGGAACUACGACGGGUCAGUUACACAGCACAGUGAAUACAUGCAUAUGUACAUACAUACAUACAUGUAUACAUACAUGUGAGAGAAAGGGGAGGUAAACCAGCGGGCCCUCCAAGGUGUGCACACAGGCCGGGGGGCCUGAUACCUGCCCAUGAAUGCAGGCAGGCUCUGGACUUGGGUAUUGGUCCUUCUAGAAUGUGGACACCUGGACACCAUGGAGUGCACUAAGAUCCAGAGGGUUCCAGCGAUGCUGCAGCCUACCCUCGGCUCACUGGCAGGCCGAGGCCCAGUGUUCUCAACCCAGACAGGUUCUGGUGAUAGCCACACACGAGCAGGGACACAUAUAUGAAUGUGGGCUCCAUCACACACGCCCCCCCACACAUACAUCUUCCCAAGACAGAGCCUGCUGCCGCCAUCUGUUCUGUGCAGACACAGUCGAAGUCUUGGGCACAGAGUCCAGCUCACACUGACAAGUACACACACACACACACACACACACACACACACACACACACAUACAUAGAGCUCUCAGAGAGAAGGGAAGAAAGGUCGAGCUGUCUGGGGGGCUGAAAGUCGCUGCAGCCCCAUAGACACUGGGGCCUAAGCCCUGGCAUCAACCCCCUGGGUGGCAGAGUCUGUCCUCAGGGGGCCCCCUCCCACCUUCCCAGGCCGGGAGACUGUCUUCUGCCCUCCCAUUUGAAAGGCUCGGCCCAGGCCUGAAAUGCCCAGGAUGACCACCAGGGGGCGCGUGAGCAUUGAAUAAUCCUUUCAGCCAGGCCUCCUCCCCAAACCCUCCUUCAUUCAUUCUUAAAUAUGUAUAAAGCCCCCCUUCUGUGCCUAUGCUUCUGUGGGACUGGAGGUUACGGGGAAGGCGUUGGUGGGGGUCUGGGUCAGAACUAACAGCUAGAAUGUACUGAGCACCGGCUGUGUUCAAGCUCUUCUAGAUUUUCAUAUGCAUUGACUCACUUAAUCCACAACUGUAUGAACUAGGUACUCCCAUUCUUCUGCUCUUAUUGUGGCUAUUGUGGGUGCAGUAGAGCAGGUAUAAUGACAGUGACUUACCCCACAGAGUUGUUAGAAGAAUUAAAUGGAUCAAUAGGCUUAUGUGCAAACCACUCGGAACACUGCCCAGUUGUCAGCACCAUCCCCAUUUUACAGAUGGGGAAACCAAGGCACAGUUAACAAGGAGUGGCCUCAGGAUUCAAUCCUGAGCAGGCUGUUUCCAGAGUAUGGCCUUACUGAGUUACUAGACCCCCUGGGGUCCAGCAGGUCCAAUCAGGGGGUCCUGGGGGCCAUGGGGGGCCACUGGAGAAUUUUAGCAGGGAAGGGACAAGACCUAGUUUGCAUUUCAUGCUGGCUGUAGGGUGGGCCAGCCUGGUGGCAGGCGGACUGGUCAGUUGGAGGCCGUCACCAUGGUCCCAGCUGUGACAAGGAUGGCAGUGGAGGGGUAGAGGGGAGAAGACAGAUUUGAGAGAUAUUAAGGAAGCAGCCUGAAGGGUCUUGGUGACCAAUUUCAUGCCAGAGCUGGGGGAGGGAAGAGGCAGAAAGCAGUGGAUGGGGAAGAAGACCGGGGAGAGGGUAGGAGCGUGUGGGGCAUCUGAAGGGAGAAAUGUGUGGGUCCCCAACCUGCCCUCUGGCCUUGCCCUGGGGGAGGGCUCCUCACCCUCAUGGCUGAAGAAGAUAAAGGAAAAGCAGCCCCCAGAGCCCUCUGCCCCAUCUUUCCUGGAAAGCCUGGGAACAGAGUGAGGGCUAGGAACCCUAAACUCUGGCUCCCUUCUGUUCACAGCCUAUGGGGCUCUGGGCUCCACAGGCAUGGCACUGUGCUGGUCUGUCCCAUCCCACCCUGCACCCUGGCCCUUGCUCACAGGGCAGGACCUGGGACUCCCACCCACCCUCUCUGGCUGCUUGUCCCCAGCACUGGGACAGAGUGAAAACAUCCCCCUCCCCUCCCAGACACAUGGAGGCUUCAGCCUUACAGAGCUUUCUCCUCUACAGGAUCACACUGAACCCUCACAACGACCUGGGAGUAGCCCUUAUUAUCUUGGAUUCACAACUGAGGGGCCACCUCAGACACAGGUAAAGGGGCCUGCCCUGGGCUACACAGCUUGUGCCUGGACCAGCCUUCUGCCGGGACUUUUGCAUAAAUCAUGGGCUCUUACCCCCUCCACUCCCAGCACCACCAGGCCCUUGGUGGCCAUCUUGGGGAGGUGGAGGCAGCUCUGCCCUGCAGCUUACUUGUCUCUGUGCAGAGCUGAGAAUGGGGCUGAGACUGGGGCAUGGUGUGGAGUCACCAGGGCUCCAGGUAGAGGAACCGGGAGCCGUGGGGAACCAGCUGGGGCACCGGGUCUCCCAAAGGGACCGGGUGGAGUGGGAGGUGCCUAGGGUAGCAAGUGGGGACAAAGAGAGCGCCAGCACACCUGGCAGCCAAGCAGCCAAGGAGCUGAGCCCGCCAGUCCAGAUUCAAAGCCGAGCUGAGGCUGUGAUUGGUGGCCAGGGUCCCUCACUCCACCCCUUCUCUCUCACCUCCCAGGCAGCUGGGAAAGGGGGAUGGAGCUGAGAAGGCCCCUCAUCAUAAAUCCUCAAGCACUGAGGGGUGGCCUGGCUGGCAGUGAACUCAAUUAACUCCCUCUCGUGCCCCAAGCCCUGCCGGGACCCUGUCUGCCGUUCUGGGGCCGCCAUCAGCCCUGAUGGCUCCCCAAGCUGCCAGGCUUGGGUGGCCCAAGCCUCAGGUCACCCAACCACCCCUCCUCUGAGGCGUCCUUCAGCCCGCGGCCUCCUCCGCUCCUUUCCCCCCAGCUCGUCCUCUCGGAGUGUGCCCUGUUCUCUGACCCCUCUCCCCGUCUAGGCUCCCGGAAGGGGCAGCUUCCUGGGCCCUAGCCCCUUUCCAUUUGGGCACCCUGGCCCUCCCGUGCCCGGAAACUCUGCUCUCCAGGCCUCCCCACGGGGCGGCGGCCGAGGCCUCUCUGCCCGGGCCCCGGGGGACCCUGCGCGCAGCUGGGCCGCGGCGGCGGUGGGGCCGCUGGGUGCACAGGUUGCCGGGCUCCGCGGAGGGCUGGCCGAGGGGGCUGGGCAGGAACCCGGCUCCGUCCGGCGCCCCGCCCCCGGCGCAGAUGGCGCGGCCGCGGGCGGGUCCCGGCCGCCGGUUUGGGCUCGGGUUUCGGCCGCGAGGGGCGGGGCGGGCUCGAGGGGCCUGCUGAGGCCGCGGCCAAUCAGCGCCCGGCCGGACUCCCCAGCCGCCAAUCCCGGCCUGGCCCGGCCGCCCCCGCCCCACCGCGUCCUUUGUUCCCGCUCUCCCUGGCGGCCCCCGGCGCGGCCCUCGCGGCCUUGGCCCUGCGACUUCCGGCGCACGCGGACCGGGCUGUGUGCACGCCCCCGUGUACUCGGUGUGUGCACGCGCGUGUGCAGGGCCUGCCCCUGCCUGCCCCAGGGACAUUGUGGGCCUCGCUGCCAGGCACAGGCCUGCCCGUGGCCUUGCUCACUCGUGUAGCCGCAGCCGCCCGAAGGACCCCCCGUGUGCCUGGCCAAAGCCCCAGAGAGUUCUUUCGAGAGCCUUAACUUCGACCACGGGCGGGGGGCUACGAGUGAGCCCCAGGAUCUGGGCAGAGGUCCAGCUCAGGCCGCACCUUUCCUUCCUGGGCCAUGGUUGGUUUUCCUCACUCACGCUUCCUUGUCUUGGCCUGGCUGCUUCCCCCUUUCAGAUACAUUCACCUAAUGAACUCAGAGCCGUCCUUCCAGACCUGUCUUGGGGAGUGCAUCCUCUGUGGAGUCGCAGGUGCCUCCCUCUGCUGCCCCCCAUCAAGCCCCCACCCAGCACGUGGUCCCCUCUAGUCUGGAUUUGUGGCAUCUGCAGCAGUGAGCCCCUGAGGGACCCAGGCUCAGUAACUCCAGCGCCUGGCAGAGCAUGGUGGUCCCUGCAUGUCUACUCAAGGGGCAGCAACAAGCCCUUGUCCUGAGCACUUCAGGGGUCGCACUGCUCCUUCAGGCCUAAUCUUGGUUCCACCUGAGACUGAGGAUGUUAUCCCAGGCCUGUUAUAAGGAUAAAAAGAACUGAAAUCUUUGAAGAUCAGAGGGCCACGCCAUGGACAGCCCUCCCAGAAUUCGGAAGGCUGCCAUUUCCGAAUUCCCAAAUCCAGUGGACACUCCUCUUGCUUUCUCUCCCCCUCCUUGCAGUCCCUUCCCUUGACCCCUGAGCCUUCUACUCAGGACUCCAACCUCAGUCCCCUUUCUGCCCUUAUUCUCUCCACCUUCCAUGACUCAUCCACUCCCAGACCUCCAUCUGUCCUGCCCUGCCCUGUCUCUUGGGUCCCCUGAAGACCUCCACCUGGACAUCCCUGAAACAUGUCAAACCCAGUUUGUGUCAAACUCAAGGUCCUCAUCCCACCACAUCUGCUCCUAUACCUAUAAAGGACUCACACCCUCACCAUUUCCCAGGCCAGACACCUGGGUGUCAUCCCCAGCCCCUCGCCCACCAGCCAGGUGACCAGUUGUGUGGCUCUCAAAUCUGGCUGCCCUGCUUCCCCAGGGCCAGCGCCUUGGCCCACACUCUUCCACUUUUUGUCUGUUCUCAUAGGCCUCUGUGCUCUCGGCCCCUACAGUCUGCAGGGCCCACUGCUCGCAAGGUUCCUUCUCCCACCACCCUCAGCCUCCAGUCUCCACUCCUGGGUAUAACAGACAGGGCCCUGCCGUCCAGCCCUGCCUGCCUUCCUGUCUCAGCCACAGGCACACAGAAUUAUGUCAGUUGAAGCCCUUGACACAGGCUAGGAGGUUGGGAGCGGGUCCACCUUCCCAGGGCCCCAUAAUAGAAGCAGUGCUAGGCACUGGGGUGAUCAGAGGAACAGCUAAGGCUGGGGAGUAGACUGAUUCAGCAAACAGCCUCUGCAAACAGGCACAUCUGGGUCUGGAUCCUGGCUCUGCACAUGUCCACUUUGUGACUUUGGCUCUGUUACUCACCCUCUCUGGCUCUCACAUCCCUGAUGGGUUUAAUAUGACCUCUUUGAGGGGCUAGAGGAGAACUUAGGAUCUGAGGCCAAGAGUGGGCUGGAGCUGCCUCUUCUCCCAGGUACUCCCCAG
ensembl:lncRNA